GGCCCAUUCGUCUAGUGGCUAGGACGUAGGAUUCUCAUUCCUAAAACAGGAGUUCAAUUCUCCUAUGGGCUA